ACUGGAGAUCCCUGCUUCCUUGAGGCCUCCUAAGGGUGCAUAGAGAUCAUCAUAUGGAUGCUGACAGCAAAAUUUCUCUUUCAUAAACAAACCAAAAAUGGAAGUAAAAAGCAGAACUCCUCUCGUAACCCUCACAAAGGACAAAUCGCAGAAGCCAGACAAGGAUAAUAAAAGUAUGUUCCCAUCAACCCAACAGUGGGUUCCUCUGACACAACUGUGACCUGGUUGUUAAUUCUGGGACAUUUCACAUGAAACAAGAUUUGAGGAUACUGUUACAUUCACUGAGAUCUGUUGCUGAGUGAUGGUUGUAUUCCUGGGGCUAGGCCAGGCCACGCAGUGGGACAGAGCUGCAGCAGCAGUGCAGGACAAGUUUCACAGGACAGAAGUCAGGCGACCUGUGCCAGUCUGCAUGCAGAUUGCACGUUGGAUAUGCCUGCUCUUACCCAAAUGAGCAGUGUAGGCUGUCAGGGUCAUUAUAUGGGACCACCCAAUUAGAAGAGAAGAUGGAAGGAGAGCGGAAAACAGCACUUUCAGUUUUUGGACGCUAACAAGUAGAAUUCUGUCAACUUGGCAAGAUAGUCCCACCAUAUUUGUCGUCUUUGUUGUUUAUUAUUGCAUGUAGACCAACAGAAUGAUCCUCUUUUCUUAUGUAAUUAUAUUUUAUUUUAGAAUGAUUCAUUUAUAUUAAUAUGAAGUAAUGUUUUGU